UACGUAGGGGGCAAGCGUUGUCCGGAUUUAUUGGGCGUAAAGAGCGUGUAGGCGGCUGGGUAGGUCCGUUGUGAAAACUCGAGGCUCAACCUCGAGACGCCGAUGGAAACCCUCCAGCUAGAGUCCGGAAGAGGAGAGUGGAAUUCCUGGUGUAGCGGUGAAAUGCGCAGAUAUCAGGAGGAACACCGGUGGCGAAGGCGGAUCUCUGGGCCUUACCUGACGCUCAGGUGCGAAAGCUAGGGGAGCGAACAGG
rnacentral:rRNA from 1 species